UUUCUUCUUUGUAUACUAACAUCCCAGGCACUCUUAUUUUAUUAAAAAGCAAGAGAAGAAAAAAUUAGGAGAAAUGAAUAGGAUCUUUUUCUUCUUCUUCCUUUUGAUUUUGUGUUGAGCAAAGUGAAAUGGGAUCGCUUGAUUUGGCGACCCAGAAUGCGUUCUAAAGCAAUUUGGGACAAUUGUCUCACGCUUUGGAACGAGCAAUCUAGGUCGCGGAACCCAAAGGGGAUAGAAAAAUCUGGCAACUAUGAUUUCAAUAUUUGUGUGUUCAUGUACAUAUUUAUGUAGGCAUGGGGAUUACAUUCCAUAUGGAAAUGUUAAGUGUGACAAUGUACCAUAUUUUGGUUUUGAAUGUUCACAAACUCAAAAAAGUGGUCUAAUCUAUUUCAUAAUUUAGUCGCAUAAGUGCCUGUUAAUUUUUUCAGACCAUUUAAACCUAAUGUCAUAAAAAAAAAACCAUCAAGGCCCAAAGUUGGUGUUACUAUACCUUCGUUACAAUAAUUAUUAAAAAAAAUCUUAUAAAACUAUGCAACACAAUGAAGAAAACAAACACGUUCAUGUGUUGGAAACAAAUGAAAUGAACCAAAUUGCAAUAAACAAAAGGAGGCUCCAUUUCUAACAAAAAGAGGUUCCAUUUCUAACCAAAAAAGAAAAGGAAAAGGGAAAAAGCUUUGGAGCUUACCAGAUUCGCCAAUUCCCCUUGGGUUUCGUGAUCUGGGUUGUGUGUUCCAAUUUGUGGAAUGUUUAUGUACCAAAUUGCUUGGGUACGUGAUCCAGAUCGCUGGAUCAAGCCAACCCAUUUCAAUCACUCACCACAAAUCCAAAAUCUAAGGGAAGAAUAACAAUCACUCGCCACAAAUCCAAAAUCUAAACGAAGAAUAAGAAGAACAAAGAACAGAGGAGGAAGAAGAAGAAG
rnacentral:misc_RNA from 1 species